rnacentral:rRNA from 1 species
UACAGAGGGUGCGAGCGUUAAUCGGAAUUACUGGGCGUAAAGCGCACGUAGUCGGCUUUGCAAGUCGGGUGUGAAAUCCCCGGGCUCAACCUGGGAACUGCAUCCGAGACUGCAUUGCUAGAGUAUGGGAGAGGGAAGCGGAAUUUUCUGGUGUAGCAGUGAAAUGCGUAGAUAUCAGAAGGAACAUCAGUGGCGAAGGCGGCUUCCUGGACCAAUACUGACGAUCAGGUGCGAAAGCGUGGGGAGCAAACAGG